CAACUGGAGGAGGCAAGGCUGAUGGAUGUUGAUCUUCCAAGAUGUGGAAACAGCAGCUGCAGCCAACAGGACUUGGUGGAAACAAAUGGAGGAGACAAACCUGAUGGAUGUUAACCCCCCCCCCCUUUCAAGACUUUUCACAGUAGAUAACUGACACUGAUCAGUUUGAAGAUUUGGAGACCAUUCAAAGUACUGGGAAUUAAGCAGAUCUUGUGGGCUUGCUGUGAUUUGCUUGAUGACAUUAUCAAGAAUGUGGACCAUUCAGGCAAAUGAGAUAAUCAUAAUCCAUCUGGCAGGUUGAAGAGGAGACUUCCAAGAAUGGUGUUCAUAAAGUUAUUUUGGACAAUGUGAAAAAAGCAUUUGAAGCCUAACAGGAAUUGGUAGAAACAACUGGUUGAAAAUGCAAUGUUGAUGGAUUUUGACCCUCCAAGAUGUGGAAAUAAGCAGCCAUAGUCAGAUAUGAAUUGGUGGAAAAACCUGGAAAAGGCAAGACUGAUGGAUGUUGACCCUCCAAGAUGUGGAAAUAGCAGUUAUAGCCAGACAUGAAUCGGUGAAAAAACCUGGAAAAGGCAAGGUUGAUGGUUGUUGACCCUCUAAGAUGUUGAAAUGAGCAGCUACAUUGGUGGAAAAACCUGGAAAAGACAAGACUGAUGGAUGAUGACCUCCCCAAAAGCAAGACUAAUCACUGUGGAGAACUGUCACUGAUCAGUGUGCUUUAUGAGUUGGUGACAGUACCCAGGAGACUUAGAUGAAGUCGUGUUGGUGUGCUUGACAUUUUAAAUUACAAGGAGCCCUCAG